rnacentral:rRNA from 1 species
CACGUAGGGGGCAAGCGUUGUCCGGAAUUAUUGGGCGUAAAGAGCUCGUAGGCGGUUUGUCGCGUCUGCUGUGAAAACCUGAGGCUCAACCUCGGGCUUGCAGUGGGUACGGGCAGACUAGAGUGCGGUAGGGGUGACUGGAAUUCCUGGUGUAGCGGUGGAAUGCGCAGAUAUCAGGAGGAACACCGGUGGCGAAGGCGGGUCUCUGGGCAGUAACUGACGCUGAGGAGCGAAAGCGUGGGGAGCGAACAGG